rnacentral:rRNA from 1 species
UACGUAGGGUGCAAGCGUUGUCCGGAAUUAUUGGGCGUAAAGAGCUUGUAGGUGGUUUGUCGCGUCUGCUGUGAAAAUCCGAGGCUCAACCUCGGACUUGCAGUGGGUACGGGCAGACUAGAGUGUGGUAGGGGAGACUGGAAUUCCUGGUGUAGCGGUGGAAUGCGCAGAUAUCAGGAAGAACACCCGUGGCGAAAGCGGCUCUCUGGAACGGUACUGACGCUGAGACGCGAAAGCGUGGGGAGCGAACAGG